UGGGGAAUAUUGCACAAUGGGCGCAAGCCUGAUGCAGCCAUGCCGCGUGUGUGAAGAAGGCCUUCGGGUUGUAAAGCACUUUCAGCGGGGAGGAAGGCGGUGAGGUUAAUAACCUCAUCGAUUGACGUUACCCGCAGAAGAAGCACCGGCUAACUCCGUGCCAGCAGCCGCGGUAAUACGGAGGGUGCAAGCGUUAAUCGGAAUUACUGGGCGUAAAGCGCACGCAGGCGGUCUGUCAAGUCGGAUGUGAAAGCCCCGGGCUCAACCUGGGAACUGCAUUCGAAACUGGCAGGCUCGAGUCUUGUAGAGGGGGGUAGAAUUCCAGGUGUAGCGGUGAAAUGCGUAGAGAUCUGGAGGAAUACCGGUGGCGAAGGCGGCCCCCUGGACAAAGACUGACGCUCAGGUGCGAAAGCGUGGGGAGCAAACAGG
rnacentral:rRNA from 1 species